rnacentral:rRNA from 1 species
UAGGGAAUAUUAGUAAUGGGCGAAAGCCUGAACUAGCAACACCGCGUGUGCGAAGAAGGCCUUCGGGUUGUAAAGCACUUUUUGAGAGGAUGAGGAAGGACGGUACUCUCAGAAUAAGUCUCGGCUAACUACGUGCCAGCAGCCGCGGUAACACGUAGGAGGCAAACGUUAUCCGGAUUUACUGGGCGUAAAGCGUGUGUAGGCGGUUUGAUAAGUUGGAUGUGAAAGCUCCUGGCUUAACUGGGAGAGGUCGUUCAAAACUACAAGACUUGAGAUUGGUAGAGGAAAAUGGAAUUCCGGGUGUAGUGGUGAAAUGCGUAGAUAUCCGGAGGAACACCAGUGGCGAAAGCGGUUUUCUGGACCAAUUCUGACACUCAGAUGCGAAAGCUAAGGUAGCAAACG